GUGCUCGCUUCAGCAUCAUAUAUACUAAAAUUGGAAUGAUACAAGAUUAGCAUGGCCCCUGCACAAGAAUGACAUGCAAAUUCAUGAAGCGUUCCAUAUAUUU
ensembl:snRNA U6 U6 spliceosomal RNA